GACGACGCUGGCGGCGUGCCUAACACAUGCAAGUCGAGCGGAGGUACCCAAGGAGUAAUCUGAGGGUACUUUAGCGGCGGACGGGUGAGUAACGCGUGAGCAACCUGCCUUUCACAGGGGGAUAAGGCGGCGAAAGCCGCUCUAAUACCGCAUGAGACCACGGGGAUGAUAUUUCUGGGGUCAAAGGAGCAAUCCGGUGAGAGAUGGGCUCGCGUCCGAUUAGGUAGUUGGUGAGGUAACGGCCCACCAAGCCAAUGAUCGGUAGCCGGCCUGAGAGGGUGAACGGCCACAUUGGAACUGAGAGACGGUCCAAACUCCUACGGGAGGCAGCAGUGGGGAAUAUUGGGCAAUGGGGGAAACCCUGACCCAGCAACGCCGCGUGAGGGAAGAAGGUUUUCGGAUUGUAAACCUCUGUUCUUGGAGAAGAGAAGAAGACGGUAUCCAAGGAGGAAGCCCGGGCUAACUACGUG
rnacentral:rRNA from 1 species